rnacentral:rRNA from 1 species
GCAUAUCAAUAAGCGGAGGAAAAGAAACCAACAGGGAUUGCCUCAGUAACGGCGAGUGAAGCGGCAAGAGCUCAAAUUUGAAAGCUGGCUCCUUCGGGGCCCGCAUUGUAAUUUGCAGAGGAUGCUUCGGGAGCGGCCCCCAUCUAAGUGCCCUGGAACGGGCCGUCAUAGAGGGUGAGAAUCCCGUCUGGGAUGGGGUGCCCGCGCCCGUGUGAAGCUCCUUCGACGAGUCGAGUUGUUUGGGAAUGCAGCUCUAAAUGGGUGGUAAAUUUCAUCUAAAGCUAAAUACUGGCCGGAGACCGAUAGCGCACAAGUAGAGUGAUCGAAAGAUGAAAAGCACUUUGAAAAGAGAGUUAAACAGCACGUGAAAUUGUUGAAAGGGAAGCGCUUGCGACCAGACUCGCCCGCGGGGUUCAGCCGGCAUUCGUGCCGGUGUACUUCCCCACGGGCGGGCCAGCGUCGGUUUGGGCGGCCGGUCAAAGGCCCUCGGAAUGUAACGCCCCCCGGGGCGUCUUAUAGCCGAGGGUGCCAUGCGGCCAGCCCGGACCGAGGAACGCGCUUCGGCUCGGACGCUGGCAUAAUGGUCGUAAGCGACCCGUCUUGAAACACGGACC